rnacentral:rRNA from 2 species
UGAGGAAUAUUGGUCAAUGGACGAGAGUCUGAACCAGCCAAGUAGCGUGAAGGAUGACUGCCCUAUGGGUUGUAAACUUCUUUUAUACGGGAAUAAAGUGAGGCACGUGUGCCUUUUUGUAUGUACCGUAUGAAUAAGGAUCGGCUAACUCCGUGCCAGCAGCCGCGGUAAUACGGAGGAUCCGAGCGUUAUCCGGAUUUAUUGGGUUUAAAGGGAGCGUAGGCGGGUUGUUAAGUCAGUUGUGAAAGUUUGCGGCUCAACCGUAAAAUUGCAGUUGAUACUGGCGACCUUGAGUGCAACAGAGGUAGGCGGAAUUCGUGGUGUAGCGGUGAAAUGCUUAGAUAUCACGAAGAACUCCGAUUGCGAAGGCAGCUUACUGGAUUGUAACUGACGCUGAUGCUCGAAAGUGUGGGUAUCAAACAGGAUUAGAUACCCUGGUAGUCCACACAGUAAACGAUGAAUACUCGCUGUUGGCGAUAUACGGUCAGCGGCCAAGCGAAAGCAUUAAGUAUUCCACCUGGGGAGUACGCCGGCAACGGUGAAACUCAAAGGAAUUGACGGGGGCCCGCACAAGCGGAGGAACAUGUGGUUUAAUUCGAUGAUACGCGAGGAACCUUACCCGGGCUUAAAUUGCAACUGACUGAACCGGAAACGGUUCUUUCUUCGGACAGUUGUGAAGGUGCUGCAUGGUUGUCGUCAGCUCGUGCCGUGAGGUGUCGGCUUAAGUGCCAUAACGAGCGCAACCCUUAUCGAUAGUUACUAGCAGGUCAUGCUGAGGACUCUAUUGAGACUGCCGUCGUAAGAUGUGAGGAAGGUGGGGAUGACGUCAAAUCAGCACGGCCCUUACGUCCGGGGCUACACACGUGUUACAAUGGGGGGUACAGAAGGCAGCUACACGGCGGCGUGGUGCUAAUCCCGAAAGCCUCUCUCAGUUCGGAUUGGAGUCUGCAACCCGACUCCAUGAAGCUGGAUUCGCUAGUAAUCGCGCAUCAGCCACGGCGCGGUGAAUACGUUCCC